rfam:Klebsormidium nitens chloroplast DNA, contig: KFL_3730.
GCGGGUAUGGUCUAGUGGUAGAAUAUCUCCUUGCCAUGGAGAAGGCGCGAGUUCGAUUCUCGCUACCCGCU